CUGAAAGGCACAGCCAGUCACAUUGGCCAUAUUUGUCACAUGAGAGAUCAAAUUAUUGGUGGGGACAAUUCAAUAAUCGCUUGAUAUUGGUGGGGACAUGUCCCUUCCGUCCAUGCCAAAUCUACGCCCUUGGUAUAGAGGCUCACACAGGCAAGUACUUUCAUCAGCACAAUCAGCCUUUCCUCCAAAGAGCAGCUUUAAGAAUUUAAUUUGCUACAUAGUUUUUCUUUCUCAAACUACAAAAGUAAAUUAUUGAUGUGCAAAACAAUGAACUGAUGCGUUUUUUUCCACAAGCAAGAAAACAAAUACAACAUAAGAUGAAUCUGUAAAAAUUAUACACAUACAUGUACACUUACACACUGUAUAGUUACAACAAGACUUUUUUUAAUGUAAAACUGAAAUAUGUUUUUAAAGCCUGCAUUUUUACUUUUUCUUCUUAUGUGCAGGUUCAAAUCAAAAGACCUGCAAUGUUAAUGUUACUACAACACAUACAGGUACAUCAGGUGGAAAUGUUUAUAUUUCAGCCUGAAAGCAGUCUUGUACUUUUAACAUUAUGUGAAUAAAAUAAUAUGUUAAUAUAUUAUAAUGCUGUAAACUCAAUACUUUAAUCUAUACAAAACAUCCCCGACUAUCAGGCUGAGUCAGCAGAGCUUUGCAUAAAUAAAGAGACAGCAGGAAAUUGUGGCCUGUUGUAGUGUUAGCAUGUCUUAAAUGUCACUUUGCGUUUUUUGUCUCAAGUUACAAAUCUGGAGUUCUACCAUGAAAACAAAAGUUGGAUUGAUGCCUUGGAGCAAUGCCAGACAGACUACACCUCCCUGGUUGAAAUCACCAACCAAACAGUGAAUGAUAAAGUGAAAAGUCUGCAAAAUGAGACACACUUGCAACGAGGGGUUUGGAUUGGCCUGGAACGCUCAGUCUUUGGCAAAGAUAGGGAGUGGAUGUGGAUUUCAAAGUCCAAAGACAUUUAUCCUGAGUGGAACAGACGCAUAGCUGACUCAAAUAACCACUGUGCAAAGAUGAUCCUGACUGAGAAACAAGAAAUUAAGCUGCUGGAUGCCAACUGCCAUGACAGACUACCUUUCAUCUGUCAAGAUCUUGGAGAAGAGCCCUCGUGACCUCUACUCACAGCAACAGGAAAACUCUGGAUUCAGUCAUCAACAACUGCAGGACCUGCGCUUUUGUCAAAAACAAAACAUCUGCGGUCCAGACAUUGAACUGUUGUCAUGGAGACAUGUCAAAUAAUGUGCCAGAAAGGGUGUAAUCAUUGUAUAGCAUAUAUCUUUAAUGACUUGAAAAAAAACAUGAAUUGGGGUUUUCUUUCUCUAAUUCACACCAGGAUGAAAUUAUACAAAUAAGUUCAAAGAAAUCACUAAAAACACGAAAUUACCAUACCAUUCAUGCCCACAGUGAGUGAGUGUAAACUUCUGGCUACAGCUCUAUAUGCAACUCUUGUAGUUAAGCUUUGUUGUCAUUUCUCUAAGUAGUCUUCAGGAAUAGUUCUCCAAGCGUCUUGAAGGACAUCCAAAGCUCUUCUUUCUUUCCUCUUUCUUAAUGACACGAUACUGUUCAUCUGCUGCUGUAGGGGCCUGCCACUUCUUUUCUUCAUUUGUCUGGUUUCUUCAAUAUUGUUAAGGACACACCGAACGCCAUGUCCAGAUUUUCUAACAUUGCAGCUAACAGCUCUUGUUGGUUCAAAAAUACUAUUUUAUGCCUGUAACUGUGCUAUCUUUGGCCUGUCCAAUUUAAGGCCAGAGGGCAGCUUGCACAUAUUAUCAGUGUGGUUUUUUAUUAUGAGUUUAUUGGCUUGGUCAAAAGACUGUUUGAUCUUUUGAUUGUCUUCCCAACUGUUUCUGUGGGUCACAUCUGUUCCUGGAAAUCAGCUCAGUGGUAACUGAGAGCUUUGCAUGAUUAGAGCCAGAGCAGUGAGUAGCUGUGGCACAGGAGAAGUACAGGGGAGUAGGUGAGUGGGCUUCUGGCACUGACAUUCUUUCAACACAAAGUGCUACAGUGUAUGUAUAUAUUAUAGGCACCCAUAUGUAAAGGUUUUGUUAGCAGAAAACAGAAAUACAAUUUGCUUUGCCAAACAACUUAGUUUUUAACUUUUCCCCGGUUCAUGCUUGUUGUCACGUCACCAUUCUAUAACUGUAUUUCUUUUGCUGACAAUUGUAUUUCCUGCUUUUUUACUGCUGUAACCCGCAAAUGCGGUUUGUCUGUGAAGCACUUUGUUGUACUUGAGACUUUUAAAUGUGCUAUAGAAAUAAAAUUGAAACUGAAACUGAA